UCGGGAUAGCUCAGUCGGUAG
rnacentral:tRNA from 2 species